rnacentral:rRNA from 1 species
AGGGCACCACCAGGAGUGGAGCCUGCGGCUUAAUUUGACUCAACACGGGAAAUCUCACCAGGCCCGGACACCGGAAGGAUUGACAGAUUGAGAGCUCUUUCUUGAUUCGGUGGGUGGUGGUGCAUGGCCGUUCUUAGUUGGUGGAGCGAUUUGUCUGGUUAAUUCCGAUAACGAACGAGACUCUGGCCUACUAACUAGACGUUAGAUCCCUUUGUGGGUCUAUCGCAGCUUCUUAGAGGGACGGGCGGCGUUUAGCCGCACGAGAUUGAGCAAUAACAGGUCUGUGAUGCCCUUAGAUGUUCUGGGCUGCACGCGCGCUACACUGAAGGAAUCAGCGUGUGUUCCCUGUCCGAAAGGACUGGGAAACCCGUUGAACCUCCUUCGUGAUGGGGAUUGGGGAUUGCAAUUAUUCCCCAUGAACGAGGAAUUCCCAGUAGGCGCGAGUCAUAAGCUUGCGUCGAUUACGUCCCUGCCCUUUGUACACACCGCCCGUCGCUACUACCGAUCGAGUGAUUUAGU